rnacentral:rRNA from 1 species
UACAGAGGGGGCAAGCGUUGUUCGGAAUUACUGGGCGUAAAGGGCGCGUAGGCGGUGAUAUGUGUGCGAUGUGAAAGCCCCGGGCUCAACCUGGGAAUUGCAUUUGAGACUGCGUAGCUAGGGUGCGGAAGAGGGAAGCGGAAUUUCCGGUGUAGCGGUGAAAUGCGUAGAUAUCGGAAGGAACACCAGUGGCGAAAGCGGCUUCCUGGUCCAGCACCGACGUUCAGGCACGAAAGCGUGGGGAGCAAACAGG